AAAGGCAAGCUGUUCAUGUGGGCACAUCCAGGAUCAGAAAACCACUACAGCUCCUUCUAAGUGCUCUCUCCUGAUGCUGCCCUGCUCCACACCACAGAGUGCUCUGGGCAGUCUCUAUCCUUGCCCCCACCUGGGAAUGUAACACAGAUGCAGAAUGGGGGUUGCUGGAGAGGUAUGUAAGCAGACAAAGUCCUUGUCCUUCACUCUCUUGCCAUCACUCACCUGUUUUGCAACUAAUCACGGGCUCUGCCUCCCUCUCUCCAAUGAGCAGUAUUGAUUUGCUGGGCUGUGCCUUCAUCACCCACAGCUGUGGGUGCCCUUUCCAGGGAAGUACUGAGCUCUGAUGCCAGGUUGGAGGUGAAAGUUCUGAGAUAGAUGGGGUGAACUGCCAGCCUUGUGUGGACUCUGGCACCCGAGUGCCUCAGAGCACAGCAGGGGAUUGGGUAUGGCAUGAAACCUGCCCUCAGUUCUCCCCUCAAGAUCGGUCCCAAGGACCCUCCAAAGUGAGCAGUGCUGGGAUGGCAGCCCUCUCUGCUCAUUUGCUGGCUGGAGCGAGGGAAUGCUCUGGGCUUUACGAAGGAAGAAAUAGCACCUGGGGUGACUUAAGCAAUAGCCAGGAGAAUACUCCUGUGCCUAAACCCACAUGGUGGAUUGCAAGGGAGGGUUCCCAGGGUGGUGCUGCUAACAUCUUGCAUGGGUUUGGGGAAUGAGGAACAGCUGGUAACAGCCCAGGACUCCAUGCCCCAGCAGCCCCAUGCAGUGGGGUUGUCCUGGUGGGAGGGUCUCUUCUCAGCCCCUGUUCCUUCCCUGCCCUUGCUUUGCACCUCUCCUCUUCUGUUUCAGAAAUCCAGGGCAGGGCUCGGUGGCACUUCUUUGUUUUGCAGACAGCAGCACACUGGGAUAAGGCCUCUAUGGUUGAGGACACACAGAAAACAGCCUGUCUGCAUGGCAAAGAUGUGGCAGUCUGUCCCAAGGAAGUCCAGGUCCACUGCCCACCUAGAAGUUCCUCCUUGGUGA
rnacentral:lncRNA from 1 species